ACGACGGGUACCGGGGCUGAGAGGCUGAUCCGGCGCAUUGGGACUGAGACACUGCCCAGACUCCUACGGGAGGCUGCAGCGACGAAUAUUGCACAAUGGGCGCAAGCCUGAUGCAGCGACGCCGCGUGUGGGAGGAAGCCCCUCGGGGUGUAAACCACUGUCAGGGACCACCAAGCGACCCGGGCGAAUAGUCCGGGAAGUUGAGGAAUCCCAGAGGAAGUCACGGCUAACUUCGUGCCAGCAGCCGCGGUAAGACGAAGGUGGCAAGCGUUGUUCGGAAUCACUGGGCUUAAAGAGCACGUAGGCGGAUUGUCAAGCACUUUGUGAGAUCCCUCGGCUUAACCGAGGAAUUGCUUGGUGAACUGGCAGUCUUGAGGCAGGUAGAGGCACACGGAACUCUUGGUGGAGCGGUGGAAUGCGUAGAUAUCAAGAGGAACGCCAGAGGCGAAAGCGGUGUGCUGGGCCUGACCUGACGCUGAGGUGCGAAAGCCAGGGGAGCAAACGGGAUUAGAUACCCCGGUAGUCCUGGCCAUAAACGAUGUCCACUAGGCCUGAGGUGUUCUGACACACUUCCGGCCGAAACAAAAGCGUUAAGUGGACCGCCUGGGGAGUACGGUCGCAAGGCUAAAACUCAAAGGAAUUGACGGGGGCUCACACAAGCGGUGGAGCAUGUUGCUUAAUUCGAUGCAACGCGAAGAACCUUAUCCUGGGCUUGACAUGUAGGAAUACCUCCCUGGAAACAGGGUUGGUUGCCCUUCGGGGUGAAGCCUACACAGGUGCUGCAUGGCUGUCGUCAGCUCGUGUCGUGAGAUGUUGGGUUAAGUCCCGUAACGAGCGAAACCCUUGUCGUUAGUUGCCAGCGCGUUAUGGCGGGGACUCUAACGAGACUGCCGGUGUUAAACCGGAGGAAGGUGGGGAUGACGUCGAGUCCUCAUGGCCUUUAUGCCCAGGGCUGCAAACGUGCUACAAUGGCGUGUACA
rnacentral:rRNA from 1 species